CCAAGCGCUCACCAUUCUGCAGAAUAAGGAUCAGAACUUUACAGAGGUAAACUGUGUCUGUUCCUUUUACUAUUACAGGCGCAGCAGCACACUGCCCUCCAAAGCCUGCAAAAAAAUUGCCUGACUGCCCCUUUCCUAGCUCUGCAUGGAACAUCCAGUGUCACGUCCUUGGUGACGUGUUGGGUGACAUCCGGGAAGACCACAGCAACCUCCUCUGGAAAGGGAAAAAAGAGGAACAGAAUGUAAACAUGCAAAUCGUAGCUUCUAAACACUGGCCAGUUGAAAGGUUCUACUAAGAUGUCAUGACAAACGGCACUUGUCAGAGUGCUCUCUAAGUGUUACCUACCUGCUUGGAUGUCAGCUGGCAGAGUGGCGAAGACAGCCAUCGUGAGAGUCCUUUCUUCAGGUGUGACGUCCAAAACCUCCAAGAUGGAAGAGAUGGGCUCUGCCUCUGUGUAGGUGGUGAUGUCUUUAACCACCAGGUGUGAAGAUGCCGGGUCUGCCUCUGUGUUAGGGGUGAUGUCUUUAACCUCCAGGCUGGAAGAUGCAGGGUCUGCCUCUAUGUUAGGGGUGGUGUCCACAACCUCCAGGUGGGAAGAAGCCUGGUCUUCCUCUGUAUUAAGGGUGAUGUCCACAACCUCCAGGUGGGAAGAAGCCUGGUCUGCCUCUGUGUUAGGGGUGAUGUCUUUGACCUCCAGGCUGGAAGAUGCAGGGUCUGCCUCUAUGUUAGGGGUGGUGUCCACAACCUCCAGGUGGGAAGAAGCCUGGUCUUCCUCUGUAUUAAGGGUGAUGUCCACAACCUCCAGGUGGAAAGAAGCCUGCUCUACCUCUAUGUUAGGGGUGAUGUCCACAACCUCCAAGUGGGAGGAAGCCGGGUCUGCGUCUGUUAUGGGUGACAACAACAAUCCUUAUGAGCUCUACUACUACAAGGCACCAAGAUGUCAUCACAACAGGCAUCUGUCAGAAUGCUCUCUAUCAUUGCUACUCACCUGCUUGGAUGUCAGCUGGUAGUGUGGUGGAGACGGCCACCGCGAGGACAGGGGGGACUGGUAGGGUGGCUGCAGGGGGCUGGAAGCAGCUCUGCACCUCGUCCGCCACAAAGGCACAGACAGAGCUCAUAUAAAAAGGGCUCUGGAGGUCAUCCGUGGAGAAGGACUGACUGAUUCUCCCGAGGAUCGACCGCACAGAGUCAAAAGCAGCAGCCCGGGAGAAAGGGAUGUGAGGGGAAGGGUCCUUUAACAUGCAGGAGAUCUUCUCCACUACAGCCGCCACCAUGCCCACGGCCAUCCCGCUUAUAAGGAUUGGGUGCUCUGAAUGGCCUUCCUCUGGCUGAAGCCACAGGGCCAGGAGGAGCCUGGGCACCACCUCCACCACCACCUGAGAUGGGCUGAGGAGGUUGCUAUGGGGCUCAUUGGACUGCUCGCCCAGAAUGCUCACAGCUCUCUCCACGAUGCUGUGGACCUUUGGAUCGCUGAAUCAACAAAACGGAGAAGACAAAGCUAAACGAUGUGCAAUGUUCUCACAUAGAACACUGUCUUAGUCUGUUUCUGGGUAGUUCCAGAUGUGUAUAUAAAUGGAUCAAGUCAUAUGCAGGGCAGUACAUGGAACUCACAUGUCAGCUGGCGAGGUGGAGUACAUGGAGCGACGGAGCUUGCAGAAAGCCUCGUGCUCUAUGUUCAUCAUUUUUAGGCAAGUGUUUACUUCCCAGGCCUGCAGUAUGAAACAGGAAGUCCCAUUAGUGUAAUUUCACAACAGAUCUAUCCUGCUGUGCUAACUAGUUGUUGAAAGGCUAGUAAAGAGCUCACUAACUUGUAGUAUAUCUCUAACUCUCAUUCUCUUACCAGCCGAGCGAGGUCAUUUCCCUCCUCCAGGGUUUCCUUCCACACCCUUCAAAUAAAAUACAGAGCAAUUCAACUUUCCUGACUUCUGAUUUUUCUGUUGUUUAUUUUACCCACACCUCCUGGAGUGCUGCUGGUGGCAGGGAAUGGCAGUGAAGGUGAGUGCUGACGUGAUACUCACCUCUCCCUAAGGGAUUUUUUGCCCUGAGACACCAGCCAGUUGCUCAUGUGCUCCGUGGUGACAUGGGGCGGGACCUGGCCUUGACUCUGGAGCAGCAGAUAGUGGACCAUGAGCUUCUUCUGCAAGAUGAGGCCUGCAGAGUCUGAAAAUAAAGGCUGCUUCUACAGAAUUCCUUUGAAGAUAAUGAAAAUAAUGAUGCUUUGUUAUGCACAUUAUGCACAGGCAU